UUCUGAUUGGACAAUCUGAAGUCUUUGCCGGGUCUCUCUCUCAGCUCUCAUGAGCUCGAGUGAAUAAUUCGCAUCCUGUCUUCCAAACACCAGGGACUGUUCCCGUGUGACUGAUUACUGUCUAGGAGUGUUUGUGGUUAGAACGACAGCACUUACAAUUUUCUAAAAAGACGCUUUUCCUACUAAACAUUAAUUGUUUAAAAGUAAUUGCUUGUAUAUAUAUAUUUAGCUUUGAGCUUAUUCAUUUUCUUCUUCAAGCCACUAAAUGGUGUUGAGUGGCGAUACUUUAGGAUUUUAUAUACGAAGAUAUAAGAACAAUAUAUCGAAGGUGGAACUGAAGUUGUGUCAUGCAGUGUUUGUGGGACUGACAGUUGAUGAUGACUCAAAAGGAAGAUCAGUUCCGUUUCACCCCUGAACUCACGUAACUCAGUCUGCGGAUGAUUUUUUGCGACUUUUAUUUUUUUCGACGAACACCAGGACCACAGCCACUGCAGACUUUGUGUUUGAUGUCCUGCCAGUCAGUCUGACAUUCCUGUCAGUCUAUCGCAUCAGAUAUCAUCAUGUACAGGCUCAUCGCAUCUUGUCUCAUAUGUUAUCUCUUGAUUCAACGAUCGGGUCAGCUGACAGCGCGUUUGGCUAACGGGACGUGGUGGGCGGGACGCCUUGAGUUGUUCUACAACGGACAAGGUGUGGAGUACAGUGUGUGACGAUGAAUUUGAUAAAAACGACGCUCGGGUGGCCUGUAGGAUGCUGGGAUUUGACAGUCCCGAAGCACUAUUUGUGGGCUCUGCGAUGUACGGAGCAGGUUCAGGAAACAUUUUGCUGGACGACUUGGGGUGUACGGGUACAGAAACCAGUUUUGGCACAGUGUAGGCACGCAGGGUACAAUCAGCACAACUGCAAACACGGAGAGGAUGUCGGUGUCGUCUGCACCGUCCUAUCUAACCAACUUCGUCUAGCGGGUACUCGGCGCACAAGACAGGAUAUGGGUCGUGUUGAAAUUUAUUUAGAGGUUCAUGGACUACUCCUUGUGUCAGUAACUUCAGCAAUAGCGUUGCAAAAGUCUUGUGCAGGCAGAUGAACUUUCCCUCAAAAGCAGCAACUGUUGUGGAGCCAUCAUCCUUUGGACCGAGGACAGGACGUUUCCUUGUCGCUGGUAUUGUGUGCACCGGGCAUGGAGUCCAACAUACUGGGCUGUUUCCAGACAGUUACUGGCUUCAAUGAUACCUGCUUUUCACCUGAGCUUGGUGUAAUCUGCAGUGAUUGUAAAUUUAUUAUAAUUAAUUCUGCUAUUAAUUAUAUAACAUAGAUCAUCAUUAGACAAAAGAAAAGGUAAAAAAAUAUAUUUAAGAAAGAGUAUAUUGUUCUCUUUUCGCAGAAUCGCUUUCUGUCAAUGAUUCUUUGUCUGUAAGUAUCGUUGUGCAUGAGUAUCUCAGUGUUUCAGCCCUUUACUUGCUAAAACUGACAAUAUCAGAUGCCUUUAAGUAGUGUUACGUAUAUUGAAUAC
rnacentral:lncRNA from 1 species